rnacentral:ncRNA from 1 species
UGUCUCCUCCACCCUCCUCCAUAGGUGGAUUGAGCCCGAGGCCUCAAGCCUCGGGCUUUUUUUC